UAAAACUUGUCUGCCACUAUUUUUUACCAGCGGUUGCAUUCCUGAUUUAGAGAAAUCGGAGUAAAGCACAAAAGUCAUAUUACAGCCUUGGUUCCUACCAGUUCCUUGCAUGAAAAUAUCACUGCCUCCACAGUGCUCGUGAUUCCAUUCCAGCAGCAGCAAGCAAUCACUAUUCGAGUGCUUAUCGCCAACAUUUCACAGCAAGCUCAGCAGCAGAACCACCUUCAACCAUAACAUCAGAAAAUUAAGAUUUCCUCCAGACCAUGACCAUCAUCCUAAAGGUCGGUAGCAAUAACGUUCAGCCGACGGUACAACCUGGUCAGCAACCGCAAUUAGUGCAAUAGAUCCAAGCCAAAUGUAGAAGACCAUUGACCAACUGCAAAAAAGAUAGCAACAGCACAUUCAAACACAGUAGCAGCAGCAUACUAUACUGUACCAUGCGGUGUGCAGGAGGACUUUUUUAUUCAGUUGGUGCGGCAAGAUCGAACACCAACAACAUAAUAUCAUGGUAAUCACCCAGCAAGAGAACGCAGUGAUAAUGGAUCAACAGAAAACACAACAUCAAUAUGCUCGGAAAGGACUUUCUCUUUCGAACAAACAUAUUGGCACGUCAUGUUCAAUCGGCUAACCGUUUGGAAUAAGCGCUCAUCAUCGGUUUCAUGGCAGGGAAGUGAGCAGGCAAAAGAAGGCAUCGUUUUUUCCGCAAGGUCGCUCUGGUCAAAAUUUCAGCGAAUUGCAGGGAAUAAAGCACCCGAGGGACAGUACCCGUGCUGAUUCAGGACGAUUUCCCAUACUUUGUACCUUGCUAUUGAAUUUUUAUACCCGAUCGAAACGAUGGCAAGCGCUGCCGAUAACUGGGUCAAAAAGACGACGGAUCAAGAAAUUUCUGCACUCGGUUAGCGAACUGAGUACAUAUCACCAAGGAUAAGGAUUCAGAGCCGGCGGCUGGCAGUCCAGAGAAAGAGAAUGCGGAAAAAUCUAGUCCACCGCCAGUAGAACCAAAGCUGCACCUGAUGUUUGGAGUUCGGUAGCUACGGAAAUUCUGACUCUAGCAGCUCCAGAAGAAAAACAAGCUGCAAGAGGAAAUGGAGAAACAGCUUCCUCCGCGGAAGAUGCAGAGGUAUUCAACCCGGCGGAUGCAAGUUUGCUAAUGAAAGAUGUUCGUUAAGGUCUAGUAGAAUCAAAGCUGGAUUUGGAGGUGCAGCGGAAGGAUUGGUUGGUUACAACUUUCGAAGCUUUGCACAUGAAGCAGGAAUUACUACAGAGAGUCUAUGCGAUGGGUUUCAACGCCCCUUCCAAGAUUCAGGAGAAGGCUCUACCUACUCUGUUGACCGGUCCGCCACGGAAUAUAAUCGCCCAGAGUCAGUCGGGAAUAGGAAAAACCGCUGCCUUCGUGCUGGCAAUGCUCAGUUGAGUCCAUCAGUUAAAAAACUAUCUGCAGGUGAUAUGCCUUUCCCCCACGUAUGAGCUGGCAAUUCAGAAGGGGGAAGUAGCUGCCAAAAUGGCAAAGUUUUGUCCGGAAAUCAAACUUCCUUACGCCGUUCGCAGUGAGGAGACCAUCAAAGGGGCGAAGCUGACUAAUCAUAUCAUCAUCGGAACACCCGGCAAGCUAAUGGACUGGAGUAUAAAGUUCAGGACGUACGACCUAGUUUUCCCUUUUUGUACUGUACGAGGCGGGUGUUAUGGUCGGUGUUCUUCUUGGCCACGUACGAGCGCGAGGUGAUGGAGUUUGCCGAGUAUAUCCAGGACGCAACCAGGACGAGAAAUUGUGUGAUUACCGUCGGACAAGCGAUCAUUUUCUGUCAUAUGAUGUAUAGGACAGUUGUAAACUCCAAGUAAACUUAUUAUCAGAACUGUUAAUCGAUCGAAACAGGUACGCAAAACGGCCGGUUGGUUGACCGGCAGGCUGUCCCAGGAUGGUCACUCGGUAGCGGUACUGUCCGGUGAUCUGACGGUGGAGCAACGGUUGGACGCUCUGGAUCGAUUCCGAACCGGACUAGAGAAGGUACAGAUUAUAACGAACGUUUUGUCCAGGGGUAUCGACGUCGAACAGGUGACCAUUGUCGUCAACUUCGACCUCCCGAUGGAUCAGCAGGGACGAGCCGAUUGCGAAACGUAUCUACAUCGAAUUAGACGCACCGGUAGAUUCGAACGGAAUCACCAUCAACCUAGUGGGCAGUAAUCGAAGCAUGAUGAUUUGCAGAUCAAUCAAAAAACACUUCCGGA